rnacentral:rRNA from 1 species
CCUACGUGCGGCAGCAGUGGGGGAUAUUGGACAAUGGGGGGAACCCUGAUCCAGCGACGCCGCGUGAGUGAAGAAGUAUUUCGGUAUGUAAAGCUCUGUCAGCAGGGAAGAAAGAAAUGACGGUACCUGACCAAGAAGCCCCGGCUAACUACGUGCCAGCAGCCGCGGUAAUACGUAGGGGGCAAGCGUUAUCCGGAAUUACUGGGGGUAAAGGGAGCGUAGACGGUUAAGUAAGUCUGGAGUGAAAGGCCGGGGCCCAACCCCGGGACUGCUCUGGAAACUAUUGAACUUGAGUGCAGGGGAGGUAAGCGGAAUUCCUAGUGUAGCGGUGAAAUGCGUAGAUAUUAGGAGGAACACCAGGGGCGAAGGCGGCUUACUGGACUGUAACUGACGUUGAGGCUCGAAAGCGUGGGGAGCAAACAGGAUUAGAUACCCUUGUAGUC